rnacentral:sRNA from 1 species
GGCCUCACAGUGCCGAGAUGGGUAGUUGUGGGCAUCCCUCGGACGUGCCGAGGCUUCUCGUGUGACCCGUUCUGCACGGAAGGAUGUGGCGCUAGGUGUUGCUCUAAUGGGCAUGGCCGUAGCACGAAGGGGCAAGUUUCCAAGCAUCCGGAAGUGCACUUUUGGCGGUUGAACAUGGUUGAGGCCAUGGCGCGUUUGUGGUUGAGGCCAUCAGCAACGUGUCCCCUGUUGCCUGUCCCUCGGAAAAGUGUGCGCUGUUGAGGUGCCUGCCUGGCCUCACAGUGCCGAGAUGGGUUGUUGCGGAUACCUCGGAAUUGUCGUGUGUUCAUGUGUGGCCUGAUCUGCACGGAUGGUUUUGGUAAUAUCUUCAGGCACGAAGGGUCAAGUUCCCAAGCAUCCGGAAGUGCACCCUGGGCGGUUCAACACGGUUGGAGCCAUGGGGCGGUCGUGGUCGAAUCAAUCAACAAUGUUUCUCCUGUCGCCUUGUCCCUCGGGAAAGUGUUCUGUUGAGGUGCCGGCCUGGCCUCACAGUGCAGAGUUGGUUUGUUGCGGGGAUCCCUCGGAAUUGUCGUGGCUUCUACUGUGGCCCGUUCUGCACGGAAGGUUGUGGUGCUCGGUGAACCCUUCAUGGGCGUAGCCGCAGCACCAUGGGUCAAGUUCCCAAUCAUCCGGAAGUGCACCCUGGGCUGUUCAACACGGUUGGAGCCAUGGGGCGGACGUGGUCGAAUCAAUCAGCAAUGUUUCUCCUGUCGCCUUGUCCCUCGGAAAAGUGUUCUGUCGAGGUGCCGGCCUGGCCUCACAGUGCAGGGUUGGUUUGUUGCGGGGAUCCCUCGGAAUUGUCGUUGCUUCUACCGAGGCCCGUUGUUCACGGAAGGUUGUGGUGCUCGGUGAACCCUUCUUGGGCGUAUCCGCAGCACCAUGCAUGGGUCAAGUUCCCAAGCAUCCGGAAGUGCACCCUGGGCUGUUCAACACGGUUGGAGCCAUGGGGCGGUCGUGGUCGAAUCAAUCAGCAAUGUUUCUCCUGUCGCCUUGUCCCUCGGGAAAGUGUUCUGUUGAGGUGCCGGCCUGGCCUCACAGUGCAGAGUUGGUUUGUUGCGGGGAUCCCUCGGAAUUGUCGUGCCUUCUACUGUGGCACGUUCUGCACGGAAGGUUGUGGUGCUCGGUGAACCCUUCAUGGGCAUAUAUGCAGAGCACGAAGGGGCGUAAGUCCCAUAAUCUGGUAGUGUGUUGUGGGUGGUUCCCAUGGCGGAAGCGAGGGUC